rnacentral:lncRNA from 1 species
GCGUAGAAACCAGUUGGAAAGCAUCUGGCAAACACUGGUCAUGGGGGAAAAAUGUUCCCAGACUGGUUUGCAAGUGGUUGCUGGAGGUUUCUGGCUGUCAGUGUAAAAUUAAUUGUUAAAGCCUGAUUGACACAGGCCCAGAGGGGAGGUCACUGACUGCUGAGACCAUCGCCCUUCAAGAUUAACUUUGCACACUUUGAAAUGAGACACAAUUUUAACUCUGAACUAUAAACAUUCUCUGUUUUGUGUUUGAAAUGCACUUUUCAAAUUUAGCUAUUAGUAGUAGUAGCCUAUGUUUCUGCAUACAAAACAGUAUCUUCCAUGCAAACUAUGGGUCACUUCGAUAAUCUUACCUUCAAUGAAAUGUUCAUUGCAUAAUCUACUGUAAACUUUAGGCUCCCACUAUUUGCGAUUCACUGCUGCAAUCCAAUUUGGGAGGAAAGCGAUAAAAACAAAAGUUCUCUUUCUGUGCUUUAUGAUUGCUUAAGCCAACAAGGCAGCAGAAAAUAGUUCUAAUUCAUACGGUAACAACAUGUGAGUAGUGUCAAAGGUCAAUAUGACGGACAACUCUCAAGCAAUUUGCUUGCGACAUGACACAAGAAACAUGAAUUGGCAAAUCUACACAUCACUUUCAUCUUCGUGUCUUUCAUCUUUAUUUCAUACGUAAAAUAUUUAUGAUAAUUUUAAUACUGCAUUUGGUAGAUCUGUCAUUGGGAUAUCCAAAAGGAACACAAGACUGGGACUUUGAGCAAAACAAAAGGCUUCUUCAGAAUGGCAGCACCAGAAACCCAUCUUGAGGAAAACAGUUCAGCCAUGAUAAUAAAGGAGCAGUUGUCACUGCCCAGCAGUCUGGGGAAGUCCUAGAAGGCUGUUUCCAAACAAUUUGAAGUCCAUCGUUGUGCAGCCCGACUGUUACAUCUUGGGUAAGCUCAAAUAUUUUUUUAGCCAUAGGACCCAAACUCCUUUAGAGUCAAACAUGAGGUUGUCAGCUGCUAAAGCU